rnacentral:rRNA from 1 species
AGUGAACGCUGGCGGUAGGCCUAACACAUGCAAGUCGAGCGGCAGCACAGUAAGAGCUUGCUCUUACGGGUGGCGAGUGGCGGACGGGUGAGGAAUACAUCGGAAUCUACUUUUUCGUGGGGGAUAACGUAGGGAAACUUACGCUAAUACCGCAUACGACCUACGGGUGAAAGCAGGGGAUCUUCGGACCUUGCGCGAUUGAAUGAGCCGAUGUCGGAUUAGCUAGUUGGCGGGGUAAAGGCCCACCAAGGCGACGAUCCGUAGCUGGUCUGAGAGGAUGAUCAGCCACACUGGAACUGAGACACGGUCCAGACUCCUACGGGAGGCAGCAGUGGGGAAUAUUGGACAAUGGGCGCAAGCCUGAUCCAGCCAUGCCGCGUGGGUGAAGAAGGCCUUCGGGUUGUAAAGCCCUUUUGUUGGGAAAGAAAAGCAGCAGGUUAAUACCCCGCUGUUCUGACGGUACCCAAAGAAUAAGCACCGGCUAACUUCGUG